rnacentral:rRNA from 1 species
GUGAGGAAUAUUGCGCAAUGGAGGCAACUCUGACGCAGCCAUGCCGCGUGCAGGAAGAAGGCGCUACGCGUUGUAAACUGCUUUUAACCGGGAAGAAACCCCAGGACGUGUCCUGGGUUGACGGUACCGGAGGAAUAAGCACCGGCUAACUUCGUGCCAGCAGCCGCGGUAAUACGAAGGGUGCAAGCGUUAUCCGGAUUCAUUGGGUUUAAAGGGUGCGUAGGCGGAGCGUUAAGUCAGUGGUGAAAUCCUGCAGCUUAACUGUAGACUUGCCAUUGAUACUGGCGCUCUUGAGUGCGCUUGAAGUGGGCGGAAUGUGCCGUGUAGCGGCGAAAUGCUUAGAUAUGGCACAGAACACCAAUUGCGAAGGCAGCUCACUAAGGCGAUACUGACGCUGAGGCACGAAAGCGUGGGGAUCGAACAGGAUUAGAUACCCUUGUAGUCC